rnacentral:tRNA from 1 species
GGCUGUGGCUCAGUGGUUGAGCACCUGCCUCACAUGCAUGAGGCACUGGGUUCAAACCUCGGCACCA